AUAUGAUAUCGUUCUUUAACCAGAAGCUCCAUUAGAUGCUCCACCGGAUACUCUAGUCCAAAGAUUCAUUAGAGAGCAAUGACCUUCCACCUGAUACUUUGCAGAUGACCGCAAGUGGGUGGAUCUCUCCGGUCUUGAACAAAGAGUAGCAAAGUUCUGUGGGGGCUCCUUCGGCCACUCAUUAUAGCCGAAACAAUGAAGAUGGGAGCUACACGAAGUCGCCGUCCAAAGUUUGUGCUGUGAGUUUAUUUUAUCCAUUUAAGUUGUUUAUUUAUAAACACUUGAGGCUUGGAUUUAAUCUGUUGUGGUAAACACUCGAAUGUGUGAGUAAACAAUUGUAACUUGGAUUCUCCUAUUAUUAGUGGAUUAUGUACUGCU